GACGAACCGUGCGAACGUUAUUCGGAAUCACUGGGCUUAAAGCGCGUGUAGGCGGAUCGGCACGUCCGUGGCUGAAAGCCCCCCGGCUCAACCGGGGAAGGGGCGCGGAUACGGCCGAUCUGGAGGGGGGUAGGGGGACCUGGAACUUCCGGUGGAGCGGUGAAAUGCGCAGAUAUCAGGAGGAACACCGGUGGCGAAGGCGGGUCUCUGGGCAGUAACUGACGCUGAGGAGCGAAAGCGUGGGGAGCAAACAGG
rnacentral:rRNA from 1 species